rnacentral:rRNA from 1 species
AUGUCAGUUGUUUUGUUUAAAUGUGACUGGUUUAAACUUGAUGGAAAGAAGACUGAGCUUAAAAAUGAUGGUUUUUUCGAAAGCAUAAAUGUUGGAAGUAUGUGGUACAAGGACGAUUCUUUGAUUCUGGCUACGCAGGCUAGAAAGGUAUUUUAUUUGCUAGACACGAAGUAUGGGAAGAAUUGGCAAGUUGUGCAAACAUUUGAACAUAGGCAUCUCUUCAAUAUUAGUGAAACUGAGGGUGUACCUUUUACUGGUCCUGCAUAUCAAGAGGACGAGUGUUGUGAUGAGGAGGGUAGGAGAAUAUCUAUUUCUGACCUUACAUCCGAGAAGCCUUUGCAUAGAGAUGAUGAGCAAGGCAUUGUUUUUGAAGCUGAUGUAGUUGCUCGUUUGAUGAAAGAAAAAAGCACAAAAGUGUAUGAAGGUGGCAAUGAAGAGGAACAAGAUGAUACGGGUCUGGAGUAUUGCAGCGAAGACGAAGGAAGUGCCAUGGAUGUUGACAACGAUGAUGAGUAG